rnacentral:rRNA from 1 species
CCAAUAGCGUAUAUUAAAGUUGUUGCAGUUAAAAAGCUCGUAGUUGAAUUUUGGGUCUGGCCGGGCGGUCCGCCCUCUGGGUGAGCACUGUUCCGACGUCGGGCCUAUCCUUCUGGUGAGUCGGCAUGUCCUUUAUUGGGUGUGUCGGGGAACCAGGACCAUUACCUUGAAAAAAUUAGAGUGUUCAAAGCAGGCGUAUGCUCGGAUACAUUAGCAUGGAAUAAUGAAAUAGGACGCGUGGUGCUAUUUUGUUGGUUUCUAGAACCGCCGUAAUGAUUAAUAGGGAUAGUUGGGGGCAUUAGUAUUCAAUUGUCAGAGGUGAAAUUCUUGGAUUUAUUGAAGACCAACUUCUGCGAAAGCAUUUGCCAAGGAUGUUUUCAUUAAUCAAGAACGAAAGUUAGGGGAUCGAAGACGAUCAGAUACCGUCGUAGUCUUAACCAUAAACUAUGCCGACUAGGAAUCGGGCGAUGUUAUUCUCAUGACUCGCCCGGCGCCUUAUG